CAAGUAAGCCAGACAGCCGCGGGGGUGCGCCGAAAGGUGCCCUUUGAGGAAAGUCCGGGCUCCGCAGGGCAAGGAUAACGGGUAACGCCCGCCGAAGGCGACUUCAGGACAAGUGCAACAGAGAUAUACCGCCGGGGGGAAGCACUUCCCCCGGUAAGGGUGGAAAGGCGAGGUAAGAGCUCACCCGGGGGCACGGUAACAUGCCCCCGCUGUAAACUCUAUCCGGAGCAACACCGUGAAAGGGGAGCAUACGGCUUGCCCGGCCGCUCCCUAGAGGUGGCAUGAACCGUCCGGCGACAGGCGGUCAAGAUAGAUGGCUGUUCAACGACAGAAUCCGGCUUACCGGCUUGCUUGCGAU
rnacentral:RNase_P_RNA from 1 species